CACUCCCUUUCUUUUUGCCUAAAACUUUUUUAAUGUCUCCACCUCUCCAUGGAACAUUACAAAUAUCUAUACCAAUACAUUUGAAAAGUUUUGGAUUCCAUGCUUUAAAAAGUGCUUAGAUACUGAGUGAUUUUCAUAGCCUUUUAGAAUAUUGCGGCAAUGUUCGGCCAAUCUAGUUUUUAAAUCCCUAGUUGUCAUACCAACAUAUUGUAACCCACAUGGGCAUCUCAGUAAAUAGAUGAUGUUUUUUGUGUUACAAUGAAUAAAAUGUUUUAUCUGAUAAGUUUUCUGUGUGGAUGAUGAUUUAAAAGAGGUUGUAGGAUAUGAAUAUCCAUUUUGCUCUAUAUCCUAACUGUUCAUGUAAGGGUUAAUUUGAAUCAAGAAUAAAUUUGGAAUUGUAUCUCCAAUUCUCAGAAAUGUUAUUGAAACAUGAUUUUGUUAUGUUCCUGGAAAAAGAUAUUGACAUGACAUGACAUGACAUGGAUUCUGGAAUGUCCUUGUGUAUUGUCCAAGAUUUCUGUAUUUGUGAUCAUCUGGGUUUUAUCCAAUAUGCAUACAUUAUGUAACAUCGAAUUAUAACUGAAAACAACUUGUGAAAAAUAAACUAUGUCACAAUGCUCAAUGAUCCCCACCGACAUGAAAAUGGGGUAUAAGUAUAACUGAUGUAUCAAUUAAAAUUUGAAUUGGUUAUAGAACACAUCUCUUGUCUUCUUGACUGAUUCCCAGGAUCCUGUCUUAUGAAGAGAGUGUAGCUCCGGCAAAAUAUCCAUCUUAUCCCCUACAAAUUGGUGUCAGAAGUUUUGGGGUGCAUUUGAACGGAACGAAAAAGAUCAGGUAAGAGAAUUGGGUGUCUUUUUCACCUCUGUUCUUUUACUUUUCUUUUUCCAUCCUUCAUACAUUGCAUAG